rnacentral:rRNA from 1 species
AUACUCGCUGUUGGCGAUAUACUGUCAGCGGCUUAGCGAAAGCGUUAAGUAUCCCACCUGGGGAGUACGCCGGCAACGGUGAAACUCAAAGGAAUUGACGGGGGCCCGCACAAGCGGAGGAACAUGUGGUUUAAUUCGAUGAUACGCGAGGAACCUUACCCGGGCUUAAAUUGCAAAGGAAUAAUCUGGAAACAGAUUAGUCUUCGGGACCUUUGUGAAGGUGCUGCAUGGUUGUCGUCAGCUCGUGCCGUGAGGGGUCGGCUUAAGUGCCAUAACGAGCGCAACCCUCGCCGCCAGUUACUAGCAGUUAAAGCUGAGGACUCUGGCGGGACUGCCAUCGUAAGAUGUGAGGAAGGUGGGGAUGACGUCAAAUCAGCACGGCCCUUACGUCCGGGGCUACACACGUGUUACAAUGGGCGGUACAGAAGGCAGCUACCUGGCGACAGGAUCCAAUCCCUAAAGCCGCUCUCAGUUCGGACUGGAGUCUGCAACCCGACUCCACGAAGCUGGAUUCGCUAGUAAUCGCGCAUCAGCCACGGCGCGGUGAAUACGUUCCCGGGCCUUGUACACACCGCCCGUCAAGCCAUGAAAGCCGGGGGUACCUGAAGUGCGUAACCGCAAGGAGCGCCCUAGGGUAAAACCGGUAAUUGGGGCUAAGUCGUAACAAGGUAGCCGUACCGGAAGGUGCGGCUG